rnacentral:misc_RNA from 1 species
GAUGAAGAACGUAGCGAAAUGCGAUAAGUAAUGUGAAUUGCAGAAUUCAGUGAAUCAUCGAAUCUUUGAACGCACAUUGCGCCCGCCAGUAUUCUGGCGGGCAUGCCUGUUCGAGCGUCAUUACAACCCUCAGGCCCCCGGGCCUGGCGUUGGGGAUCGGCGGAGCCCCCCGUGGGCACACGCCGUCCCCCAAAUGCAAUGGCGGUCCCGCCGCAGCUUCCAUCGCGUAGUAGCUAACACCUCGCGACUGGAGAGCGGCGCGGCCACGCCGUAAAACACCCAACUCUUCUGAAGUUGACCUCGAAUCAGGUAGGAAUACCCGCUGAACUUAAGCAUAUCAAUAAGCGGAGGA